rnacentral:rRNA from 1 species
GUGGGGAAUAUUGGACAAUGGGCGAAAGCCUGAUCCAGCAAUGCCGCGUGAAUGAAGAAGGCCUCAGGGUUGUAAAAUUCUUUUAGCAGGGAAGAUAAUGACGGUACCUGCAGAAAAAGCCCCGGCUAACUCCGUGCCAGCAGCCGCGGUAAGACGGAGGGGGCUAGCGUUGUUCGGAAUUACUGGGCGUAAAGAGUGCGUAGGCGGUUUAAUAAGUUAGAAGUGAAAUCCCAGGGCUUAACCUUGGAACUGCUUCUAAAACUGUUAGACUAGAGUAUAGUAGGGGAUGAUGGAAUUCCUAGUGUAGAGGUGAAAUUCUUAGAUAUUAGGAGGAACACCGGUGGCGAAGGCGAUCAUCUGGGCUAUAACUGACGCUCAUGCACGAAAGCGUGGGGAGCAAACAGGAUUAGAAACCCUAGUAGUCC